UACACACCGCCCGUCACACCAUGGGAGUGGGUUGUACCAGAAGUAGGUAGUCUAACCGUGAGGAGGACGCUUACCACGGUAUGAUUCAUGACUGGGGUG
rnacentral:rRNA from 1 species